GACGAACGCUGGCGGCGUGCCUAAUACAUGCAAGUCGAGCGAAGUUUUUCUGGUGCUUGCACUAGAAAAACUUAGCGGCGAACGGGUGAGUAACACGUAAAGAACCUGCCUCAUAGACUGGGACAACUAUUGGAAACGAUAGCUAAUACCGGAUAACAGCAUUAACUGCAUGGUUGAUGUUUAAAAGUUGGUUUUGCUAACACUAUGAGAUGGCUUUGCGGUGCAUUAGCUAGUUGGUGGGGUAAAGGCCUACCAAGGCGACGAUGCAUAGCCGACCUGAGAGGGUGAUCGGCCACACUGGGACUGAGACACGGCCCAGACUCCUACGGGAGGCAGCAGUAGGGAAUCUUCCGCAAUGGGCGAAAGCCUGACGGAGCAACGCCGCGUGAGUGAAGAAGGAUUUCGGUUCGUAAAGCUCUGUUGUUAGGGAAGAAUGAUUGUGUAGUAGCUAUACACAGUAGAGACGGUACCUAACCAGAAAGCCACGGCUAACUACGUGCCAGCAGCCGCGGUAAUACGUAGGUGGCAAGCGUUGUCCGGAAUUAUUGGGCGUAAAGCGCGCGCAGGUGGUUUAAUAAGUCUGAUGUGAAAGCCCACGGCUCAACCGUGGAGGGUCAUUGGAAACUGUUAAACUUGAGUGCAGGAGAGAAAAGUGGAAUUCCUAGUGUAGCGGUGAAAUGCGUAGAGAUUAGGAGGAACACCAGUGGCGAAGGCGGCUUUUGGCCUGUAACUGACACUGAGGCGCGAAAGCGUGGGGAGCAAACAGG
rnacentral:rRNA from 1 species